rnacentral:rRNA from 1 species
UACGUAGGGUGCGAGCGUUAAUCGGAAUUACUGGGCGUAAAGCGUGCGCAGGCGGUUUUUAAGACAGGCGUGAAAUCCCCGGGCUUAACCUGGGAACUGCGCUUGUGACUGGAAGGCUAGAGUACGGCAGAGGGGGUGGAAGUUCCACGUGUAGCAGUGAAAUGCGUAGAGAUGUGGAGGAACACCGAUGGCGAAGGCAGCCCCCUGGGCCGAUACUGACGCUCAUGCACGAAAGCGUGGGGAGCAAACAGG